rnacentral:rRNA from 1 species
GAUGAACGCUGGCGGCGUGCCUAAUACAUGCAAGUCGAGCGAACGGACGAGAAGCUUGCUUCUCUGAUGUUAGCGGCGGACGGGUGAGUAACACGUGGAUAACCCACCUAUAAGACUGGGAUAACUUCGGGAAACCGUAGCUAAUACCGGAUAAUCUUUUGACCCGCAUGGUUCAAAAGUGAAAGACGGUCUUGCUGUCACUUAUCGAUGGAUCCGCGCUGCAUUAGCUAGUUGGUAAGGUAACGGCUUACCAAGGCAACGAUGCAUAGCCGACCUGAGAGGGUGAUCGGCCACACUGGAACUGAGACACGGUCCAGACUCCUACGGGCGGCAGCAGUAGGGAAUCUUCCGCAAAGGGCGAAAGCCUGACGGAGCAACGCCGCGUGAGUGAUGAAGGUCUUCGGAUCGUAAAACUCUGUUAUUAGGGAAGAACAUAUGUGUAAGUAACUGUGCACAUCUUGACGGUACCUAAUCAGAAAGCCACGGCUAACUACGUG